rnacentral:rRNA from 1 species
CCUACGGGAGGCAGCAGUGGGGAAUUUUGGACAAUGGGCGAAAGCCUGAUCCAGCCAUGCCGCGUGCAGGAUGAAGGCCUUCGGGUUGUAAACUGCUUUUGCACGGAACGAAAAGGUCUUUUCUAAUAAAGAAGGCUCAUGACGGUACCGUAAGAAUAAGCACCGGCUAACUACGUGCCAGCAGCCGCGGUAAUACGUAGGGUGCGAGCGUUAAUCGGAAUUACUGGGCGUAAAGCGUGCGCAGGCGGUUAUAUAAGACAGUUGUGAAAUCCCCGGGCUCAACCUGGGAACUGCAUCUGUGACUGUAUAGCUAGAGUACGGUAGAGGGGGAUGGAAUUCCGCGUGUAGCAGUGAAAUGCGUAGAUAUGCGGAGGAACACCGAUGGCGAAGGCAAUCCCCUGGACCUGUACUGACGCUCAUGCACGAAAGCGUGGGGAGCAAACAGGAUUAGAUACCCUGGUAGUCCACGCCCUAAACGAUGUCAACUGGUUGUUGGGUCUUCACUGACUCAGUAACGAAGCUAACGCGUGAAGUUGACCGCCUGGGGAGUACGGCCGCAAGGUUGAAACUCAAAUGAAUUGACGG